CAAGAAGCCGAAAGGCUACUUAAAACCAUCGCGAACUUAUCCAAGUUGCUUCGGCGGCGCGGCUCCCCUCACGGGGGACCGCAGCCCCCGCCUCUCAGGAGGUAAGGGGCAGCCGCCGGAGGUACGAAACUCUGUAUUAUAGUGGUACCUCUGAGUAUAAAACAAAUAAGUUA
rnacentral:misc_RNA from 1 species